GCUUCGGCCCUUCUGUAUGAAAAAGCCUAUACGCAGUUUGUGUUUUGUUUUGCAUUCGGCCCUAUUUUUGUUGUGAGAUUUCAACGCAUAGUGGCGAAUAAUCACUGGCCAUCUCCGGUUAAGUACGUUUAUGCAAAUUAAAUAUUUUAGAAACAGCCAGUUCUGCAGUUGCUGCUGCGAAGAUGAUCCCCGCCGUACGCGAGAGACUCGACGGACGACCGAAAAAAACUACGAUGCUACCUGCAUAAAUAACACCACAAACUAUACAGACACCACGCGUAGAACAAAAAGCUCAAAAUCUAAGGUACCAGAUUCAUUUGAAGUGAGUGAAUCUCGUCCCUUACUUAGCUCACGUAUUGUGUGGCUCUCAAGACUACCUUUCUCUCUUACUCUGCUAGAAAUCUAAAAAUUUACUCACGAUAAAACUAAGCAACCUGAUAAAAUUGUUUAUGAUUUUCUUCAGUUAAUGUCUGCAAAGCUGAUUCAAUUAUUUAGGAAAUGAAAAGCUAGAGAAAACACGGUGUAGUGUUUCAAACAAUAUAAUAUCGCAGCAGUGAAUCCUUAGCGAUAAAUUUCUAUUAUAGCAACACAAACAUUUGGAUUGCCAAUUUUUUUCGUUUUACAACGACAUGGUUCGGCAAUUGACAAAGCUUGAUCGGACUGGACCAGGAUAUCCAUCAGCGAUAAAAAGAUAUCAGGACAUGCAAAAUGGCCUAACGAAUAGUGUGGAUUAUGACGACACACAACCAAAAACUUGGAUGGGACUAUCAUCAUCGCAAAUUUCUCCUUGUCCAACUACAGCAGUGGCUGAGCUUCGGUCCAAUUUGAUCGAGAUCACAAAAAGGAGUAAUAGAUGU